AUGGCCCCGAGAGGCGGACACGCGGCGGCAAGCUCCGGCUCCGAGGACGAGGAGGAGGAGGCGGAGGCGGGCUUCUCCAGGAGCUAUUUCCUCGCCAAGGAGAAGGAGCCCUCCUCGGCCAAGAAGCGCGCCCGCGCCGCCGCCGCCGUCGGCAAGCUCUCCAACCUCAACCUCGUCGACGAGCAGGUGUUGCGGGCAUCCCUCGCGGAGAUCCCCCCGAAGCACGAGAAGGAGGUAGAGGCCCUCACCAGGAGCUACAAGGACCAGUACCGCAACUGGCUUUUCGAGCUGAGGUGCGGUUUCGGCCUGUUGAUGUAUGGCUUUGGGUCUAAGAAGCUGUUGCUGGAGGAUUUUGCCUCCACGACCUUGACUGAUUUCACUGUCAUUGUGGUCAAUGGUUAUCUUCCGUCCAUCAACUUGAAGCAAGUAUUGGCAACAAUAGCUGAAAUGUUUUGGGAGCAGACAAAACUUAAGCGAAAACGUCACUCAGGAACAAGGUCCCAACCAUCACAAAAUUUUGCAUCCCAAUCAAUGGAUGAUAUUAUCUCGUUUUUGAACAACCAGACAUCAGAAGAUGGGGUCGAUGGCGUGUGCCUUCUUAUUCACAAUAUAGAUGGACCUGCAUUGCGUGAUGCUGAAUCACAGCAGUGUCUAGCACAAGUUUCUUGCUGUCCACAAAUCCACAUUGUUGCAUCAGUGGAUCAUGUCAAUGCACCUUUAUUGUGGGACAAGAAGAUGGUGCACACACAGUUCAAGUGGAGUUGGUACCAUGUCCCAACAUUUGCACCUUACAAAGUUGAAUGCGUGUUCUACCCAUUGAUACUUGCUAGUGGCGGUCAUGCACAGACCACAAAAACUGCCCUUGUUGUUCUUCAGAGUCUGACACCAAAUGCACAAAGUGUCUUUAGAGUUCUUGCUGAAUAUCAGUUGGCAAAUGAAAAAGAGGAAGGUAUGCCAGUCAGCAGCUUGUAUACCAAAUGCCGUGAGCGUUUCCUGGUGAGCAGUCAAGUGACAUUGAACUCCCACCUGACAGAGUUUAAAGAUCAUGAUCUUAUAAAGAUCAAAAAGCACUCUGAUGGCCAAGAUUGCCUCCACAUCCCCCUUGUUCCUGAUGCGCUGGGGAAAUUGCUGCAAGAAUUGGCCUGA
rnacentral:rRNA from 1 species